UACAGAGGGGGCAAGCGUUGUUCGGAAUUACUGGGCGUAAAGGGCGCGUAGGCGGCCUGUUAAGUCGAACGUGAAAUCCCCGGGCUCAACCCGGGAACUGCGUCCGAUACUGGCAGGCUUGAAUCCGGGAGAGGGAUGCGGAAUUCCAGGUGUAGCGGUGAAAUGCGUAGAUAUCAGGAGGAACACCGGUGGCGAAGGCGGGACUCUGGGCCGAUACUGACGCUGAGGAGCGAAAGCGUGGGGAGCAAACAGG
rnacentral:rRNA from 1 species